rnacentral:misc_RNA from 1 species
GAAAGUAUCAACAUCCUAUGUUAAUAAUGGAAUUGAAGAUGUUGAAAAUAAUAAUGCAAUAUGACAAUAGAGCAGUUUACUCAAGGAAUUGAGACGCAUGGAUUCACUUAUUUCACACGUUGGAAAGUAUCAACAUCCUACAUUAAUGGACUGGAGGAGGUCGAGAAUAUUGCAGGUUUUAUGCAGUCUACGUAUAAUAGUUACUCAAAGUAAUUAAAAUUCAAUUGAUAGAAGUGCAUCAAAAAGAUGGUGUCAUGAAACCCUGACCAUUACAUAAAAAGGCAGUAUGGCAGAUCACUCAAGUCACGCUGAUACAUGAAUUCACAUUUCUCACGCGUGGGAUAGUAUCAACAGCCUACGUUGCAAAUGGACUAGAAGAUGCUGAGAAUAAUACGUGUUAUAUGCAAUAUACAUAUGGCAGUACGGCAGUUCACUUAAGGAAUUCUGACGCAUGGAUUCACUUAUCUCACACGUGGGAAAGUAUCAACAUCCUAUGUUGCAAAUGGACUAGAAGAUGCUGAGAAUAAUACAUGUUAUAUGCAAUAUGGCAGUACGGCAGUUCACUUAAGGAAUUCUGACGCAUGGAUUCACUUAUCUCACACGUGGGAAAGUAUCAACAGCCUACGUUGCAAAUUGACUAGAAUAUGCUAAGAAUAAUACGUGUUAUAUGCAAUAAGGCAGUACGGCAGAUCAUUUAAGUCACGCUGAUACAUGAAUUCACAUUUCUCACGCGUGGGAUAGUAUCGACAGCCUACGUUGCAAAUGGACUAGAAUAUGCUAAGAAUAAUACGUGUUAUAUGCAAUAUGGAUGUACGGCAGUUCACUUUAGGAAUUCUGAUGCAUGGAUUCACUUAUUUCACACGUGGGAAAGUAUCAACAUCCUAUGUUGCAAAUGGACUAGAAGAUGCUGAGAAUAAUACAUGUUAUAUGCAAUAUGGCACUACGGCAGAUCACACAAGGCAUGCUGAGACAUGGAUUCACAUUUCUCAC